rnacentral:rRNA from 1 species
GUCUUUUUGAGUUAUUUUUAAAGUCUGACCUGCCCACUGAAUUUUUAAAUGGCCGCAGUAUUCUAACUGUGCAAAGGUAGCAUAAUCAUUAGUCUUUUAAUUGAAGGCUGGUAUGAACGGUUGGACGAGGUAUAAGCUGUUUCAUAUAAAUUUAUAAUAGAAUUUUAUAUUUUAGUCAAAAAGCUAAAAUGUAAUUAAAAGACGAGAAGACCCUAUAAAUCUUUAUAUUUUAUAUAGUUUAAAUUUUUUAGAUUUAUUUUAUUUUUAUUAUAUUGAAUAUUUUGUUGGGGUGAUAUUAAAAUUUAAUAAACUUUUAAUUGUAUUUAAAUCAUUAAUUUAUGAAUUGUUGAUCCAUUAAUAGUGAUUAUAAGAUUAAGUUACUUUAGGGAUAACAGCGUAAUUUUUUUGGAGAGUUCAUAUCGAUAAAAAAGUUUGCGACCUCGAUGUUGGAUUAAGAUAUAAUUUUAGGUGUAGCCGCUUAAAUGUUAAGUCUGUUCGACUUUUAAAUUCUU